AUUUUUAUAAAAGACAACGGUUUUUACAGAAAUCCGUUAUCUAUGUAGUGUUACUCAUAAGCAUAGAUAACGGUACGAAGUAAUUCGUUAUGAAUAAGCGUUAUCUAUUAGGUGCAUACAUAACGGUGUUAUCGAACCGUUAAGAUAACCGUUAUCUAUGAGUGUAUUUUUAUAACGGUUGUUUUAACCGUUAUGUAUGAGCGCUUAAAUACUGUUAUGAUUACUUUUUAUAUUUAUUUUUAAUUUUAACUUUAAUAAUAUUAUAAAAAAAUAAAAACCCUAAUUACAUAAUUCACCUUCUUCUCCAAAGUUUGAAGUCUCACCCACACUCUCUCUCUCUCUCGACCGUACUUCUAUUCUUCUUCUUCUCUCUGCCACUGCCUUACUCCCUUCAAACCCGGCGGCUACUGUCGCCGCCAGCCACCACUGCCACGGUAUCCCCUCUGUAGGCCUCGCAUCUGCCUGCCUCUCGUUCCCUCUCUAAAUCAUGAAAAAUCCCCAAAAAUCCCUAGCUUUCUCCCCUUUCAAUUUCCGACGAGAUUACCGCCUGAACCACCAUCUUCUUCUUCAGUCGACAGCAACGGUCAGCCGGACCGCCGUCAUCCUCCCUCAUCUCUCAAGCCUCUAUCACCGUCUCCCUCUCGACUCCGAUGAGCAGCCGCUAUGAAUCCCCGCCGCCUUCACCGCUUCCCUCCAUACUAAUAUAAAGAUUCGAUUUUUCCUCUUCCCUUCCAUUUCUUCACUCGAGCUCCAUCCCUGCUCUCCAACAAGACUUCACUCAAAAGGGUAUGUGGAUAUCAACUCUUCCUUUCUGAAUUAAUGAAUCAAUNUUCAUUAACUGACAUUCCGGAGUUCACGGCGGUCGUGACCACGGUUCGAGCCAUUUUACGUGAGCUUCCAUCGUCCCCUGGCCUGUCGUGCCCAUCGUGCCCACGGGCGGGGGCAAUCGACCGUCGUGGGCACGGUCGCUGGUGUCGACGGGCACGAUGGUGCGAAGAAACGACGGGCACGAUGGUGCGACCACUGCUACAAAAAUACACAUACAUAACACUGCAUACAUAACGGGUUUUUUAAAAAACCGUUAUGUAUGAGCGCAUUUUUAUAAAAGUACAACGGUUUUUACAGAAAUCCAUUAUCUAUGUAGUGUUACUCAUAAGCAUAGAUAACGGUACGAAGUAAUUCGUUAUGAAUAAGCGUUAUCUAUUAGGUGCAUACAUAACGGUGUUAUCGAACCGUUAAGAUAACCGUUAUCUAUGAGCGUAUUUUUAUUAAUGGUUGUUUUAACCGUUAUGUAUGAGCGCUAAAUACUGUUAUGAUUACUUUUAUUAUUAUUUUAAUUUAACUUUAAUAAUAUUAUAAAAAUAAAAACCCUAAUUACAUAAUUCACCUUCUUCUCCAAAGUUUGAAGUCUCACCCACCACUCUCUCUCUCUCUCGCCGUACUCCUAUCUUCUUCUUCUCUCUGCCACAGCCUUACUCCCUUCAAACCCGGCGGCUACUGUCGCCGCCAUCCACCACCGCCAUGGUAUCCCCUCUGUAGGCCUCGCAUCUGCCUGCCUCUCGUUCCCUCUCUAAAUCAUGAAAAAUCCCCAAAAAUCCCUAGCUUUCUUCCCUUUCAAUUUCCGACGAGAUUACCGCCUGAACCACCCUCUUCUUCUUCAGUCGACAGCAACGGUCAGCCGUACCGCCGUCAUCCUCCCUCAUCUCUCAAGCCUCUAUCACCGUCUCCCUCUCGACUCCGAUGAGCAGCCGCUAUGAAUCCCCGCCGCCUUCACCGCUUCCCUCCAUACUAAUAUAAAGAUUCGAUUUUUCCUCUUUCCCUUCCAUUUCUUCACUCGAGCUCCAUCCCUGCUCUCCAACAAGACUUCACUCAAAAGGGUAUGUGGAUAUCAACUCUUCCUUUCUGAAUUAAUGAAUCAAUUGGUAGUUAGA
rnacentral:lncRNA from 1 species